rnacentral:rRNA from 1 species
UAAAUUGAGAGUUUGAUCCUGGCUCAGGACGAACGCUGGCGGCGUGCCUAAUACAUGCAAGUCGAA